UACGUAGGGGGCAAGCGUUGUCCGGAUUUAUUGGGCGUAAAGAGCGUGUAGGCGGCCUGACAGGUCUGCUGUGAAAACUCGAGGCUCAACCUCGAGAUGUCGGCGGAAACCGUCUGGCUAGAGUCCGGAGGAGGAGAGUGGAAUUCCUGGUGUAGCGGUGAAAUGCGCAGAUAUCAGGAAGAACACCUAUGGCGAAGGCAGCUCUCUGGGACGGUACUGACGCUGAGACGCGAAAGCGUGGGGAGCGAACAGG
rnacentral:rRNA from 1 species